rnacentral:rRNA from 1 species
AAUCUUCGGCAAUGGACGGAAGUCUGACCGAGCGAUGCCGCGUGAGUGAAGAAGGNCUNNGGAUUNUNAAGCUCUGUGAUUAGNNNNNAAGGCUAUUAGGAGGGAAUGCCUAAUAGGUGACGGUACCUAACCAGAAAGCCACGGCUAACUACGUGCCAGCAGCCGCGGUAAUACGUAGGUGGCAAGCGUUAUCCGGAAUUAUUGGGCGUAAAGCGCGCGCAGGCGGUUUCUUAAGUCUGAUGUGAAAGCCCACGGCUCAACCGUGGAGGGUCAUUGGAAACUGGGGAACUUGAGUGCAGAAGAGAAAAGCGGAAUUCCACGUGUAGCGGUGAAAUGCGUAGAUAUGUGGAGGAAUACCGAUGGCGAAGGCAGCCCCCUGGGAUAAUACUGACGCUCAGACACGAAAGCGUGGGGAGCAAACAGG